GUCACAAACAGUUUAUGUCCGGGGUGGGAGGGGUCGGCCGCGAUCUUUUUAGCUCGCUUCAGAGACCUGGAAGCGAACAAGUCCUCCAGGGACGGCAGAUUGCAGCCGAUCACCCUGGUAAUGAGUCAGGUUAUGGUCGGUGAGGGAAAGGUCAGCAGAGGAUCUGUCAUCAUAAUACGAUACCACUGCUGUGUCUUUCUCUGCCACUGAAACCCCACACACAUUCCUGUAAAUGUAAAAGCGUUGAGCGGUGGUUUCUCUGCUUCUGCCAUGCGGCACACAAUGACCCGAAUUUCUUUUUAUAUUGCUAAUCAAUUUGUGAAAAGCUGAGUGAGAGUGUGUUUUGUUUAUUUCAUAUUCUGACCCUGAUUAUCUCGUCCUCUAAUUAUUCAACAGUUUUUUACUUCCUGAAGAUAAGAAGCGCUUGUGUAAAACGACAAUUUUUAAUUCGAACUGGCGACAAAUUACGGAAAUCCACAAAAGCACACGAAUACAGAAAACAUGCGAAAAACAAACCAUUAACGUCUCCCAGCCUGGUGGAAAUCCCUUUACACCUUCUCGAUCCUAAUUGGCUCUCUGGAAAACGCACGGCGUGUAGUCCAGCGUGACGCAGGCGUUCCCGGGUCAAGGGCUGCUCUCGGGGGUGACUCGACACUUUUGACAUGUGGUCGGCUUCUUAGCAGCGAAACACUUGGGUUUUCAGAGGUCGCCCGUUAGGAUAAGCGUGCGCAGCUGCUCGGCUGCGACUCGUGCGCACGCGCAUUUCCAACAAAAGAGGUGACAUGUUGUUAUCGAGGUCUGGGGGAGUCGCAAAGGGAGUCAGGAUUUCCGGAUGUGCGCCGAUCCGAGACACAGACGGACUGACGGGGAACAGACUGGAGGAUGCUGCUGCUACCGUGGACUUUGGGGCUUCCCAUCCUAGAGCUACAAGGAGAAUGACUGAAUCAUUCCAGUUUCGAUAUGACAACAGGAAGGUGAAGUGAGUCGGAGAUUAGCGGCGUGGGCGUAUGUGACCGUGAAAGACAAUGAAGCACUAAGAUCGUUCGGUUCAUGAUAAUAAUCAACGAUGAUGAUGGAUUAAUGGUCGGCAAGAACUUUGAUGCACUUUGACCUGAUGUUACACCGGCGCCCCUCCUCCCUCCGUAUCUCAUCCAGCGGGAAAAAAAAGUCUGUUUGCAGGCCGGAGGCCCGGCAGCAGAACGCAACCUCUCAUCUUUGCGUUCAGCUCUUCGCCUUCCACCCCGUUCGGUACAAUAUGACUCACGCAAUGCUUUGUAGGUUUCAGAGCACUUCUUCUCAAUGUAUGACAUUCAUUUCCUUCACCAUUCUCUGUGGGGGGAAGAAGAGACAAAUGACCCCAAGUGUUUGGAAGGGCAGGACAAAGAAGGGAAGGAAACACAGACUGAAAGAAAGGAGGGGGGGGGGAAUCACAAUAAUAGCAAUCUCUCUUCUCUCCCCUUUUUUUUUUUCUCAGAAGAGCUUACAGUGAGUGCCAGCUGGGCUCUGCUGCUGCUGCUGUUGUACAGUGCACGCUACUUCAGAGAAGUCAACCUCACUGCACUCCAUCCGCCCCAUUGAGCCGCCAGCGCUGGCAAUCAAUUCUGAGCCUUGUGCUGUCGCUGAUGGCCUCUGGACACGGCAGCUGGGUGCAGGAAGACAAGCGCUCUUCCACGGGAGUCUGUCCCCCGAUCAGCUGCAGCCAGCUGUCCGGCAACAGCGCGCCGCCAUUCAGAGCGGCAGCCGCCGCCGCUGCUGCCGCUGUUGCCGCUGCUGCCGGUGGAGCGAGACCUCCUUUACUGCCGUCACCGCCGCUGCCAAGUCCCCUUUCAACGUGUAAGGCGGGAUUUACAUUUUCUCAGGACAGGCACCCGUGAAGAGAAGCCUGCUGGCAGAUCAAAGGCUCCGGCUGUAAAACGAUCUGAAAGAGUCCGGCUUUAGCAUCCAUCAGGGUACCUUGAAAGCUCCCUGGUCAGCCGAGAGGGAAGCUGAGGGCCCCUGUAGGAUAUUAGAAACAAAUAUACGACCCGGUUCAUAAAAUUAAUAAAAAUGCAUAUAGUGUACACCAGAAUACAGCCAUGAUUCUGAAACUGUAAUCAAUAAAGUAAUGACAAUAUUGUAAAACCACUGUAAUUCUGCAACUGCAAUAGAAUAAUACCAAUGCAGUUAUGAUUGUAUUUGAUGUAAUGUAAUCAACUGGAAUGCAUGCAUGUAAUACUUGCACAACAACUGAUAUUGACUAAGGAUCAUUCGAAAUCCGAGUUACAUUGAACUCACCAGAAGACCACUCCCAGAGGUGUGGACACUAACUUUCACACCUUUAAGCAUUGUUAUAAAUACCUUGUAGGAACCAUUGUUCUGGAGUUCGCUGGUGGAGGCGACAGACGGCACUAGGGAUGGUCAAAAGGACUGACCUGGGGCCUGUUGGUUGCCAGCGUCUCCUCAGCUGAGAUGUUCUUUUUACCACAACACCAUCUCUUUUAUUAAAUACAUUUGAUUUUAACCUUUUGAUCAGCGAUGACCUCUGUCCGUCUGGCGUUUCUUCAUUUUUGAACACAACACCCCCCAAAGUGAAGAGGGGGUGGGGGGUGAUGGAGGGGCGGAGGGACAGUAGAAGGUGGGUGGAGAGAGAGAGAGAGAGAGAGAGAGAGAGGCUUCUUGGAGGGAGGAAAAUUCCCAUAACAAGCUGCAUGUUUUCACUUUUCUUUUGGAUUCAGCCCCCUCAUCCCUUCCUUCAGCUUUAACCUUCUAUCCAGCAAACUUGAGUUGAGGCUGUAAGGGGAGAACCUCUCCAUCUGUGCACCAUCUCCACUCCGCUCACCAAAACCCAGACUUUUACUACUCCACCCUGCAGUCUUCACACAGGG
ensembl:lncRNA